GCAAACAGUUUUUAAAAUGUGUGCCUUUAAGGCUGAGCAGGAAGUAGGGAACAGGAAGGGCUUCAUGGGAAAGGAUCAGUAACAGUUUCCUCAGAGAACAGCCCCUCCCUUUCUUUUGCUUUCGUUUUCAGAGCAAGUAAAGUUCUGCAGAAACAAGAUCCACUAAUCUAAUAAGGUAAAUUCUAGCGUAAGCAGAAGGGGACCAACUGGAAGGAGAAGAUUCAAAAGAUGAGUUCUGGAGAUAUUAUGUUGAUCAUAAAUAUAAUCCAAUGACGAUCCAAACAACAGGAGACCUGAGGAAUGCCAUUGCAAAGGAUUGUUGCAACUUGAAGAAGCUCACGCGAAACAAGGGUUCAGUACGACCUUGACCUUGGAAACUUGUAUUGGCUGCAUCUUUGGACAGACAUUAAACAUCUGGAGUACUACACCAGGACUGCAUGGAAUAAGAUAGAAGUUUUACCACAGGAUGAAAAGAAAGACUCUUGGUGCUAUUGCUUCCUUUUCUAUUAAGGACUAAAAGUUAUGGUUGUUUUGUAAUUUAUGAUGGUGGAAUUUGUGUUUAUUUUUGUUGACCUUGUAUAAUUUAAUAAUAGAAGCUGGUUUUCACGGUG